GCAGUCGAGCGGUAACAGGAGAAGCUUGCUUCUCGCUGACGAGCGGCGGACGGGUGAGUAAUACUUAGGAAUCUACCUAGUAGUGGGGGAUAGCUCGGGGAAACUCGAAUUAAUACCGCAUACGACCUACGGGAGAAAGGGGGCAACUUGUUGCUCUCGCUAUUAGAUGAGCCUAAGUCGGAUUAGCUAGAUGGUGGGGUAAAGGCCUACCAUGGCGACGAUCUGUAGCUGGUCUGAGAGGAUGAUCAGCCACACCGGGACUGAGACACGGCCCGGACUCCUACGGGAGGCAGCAGUGGGGAAUAUUGGACAAUGGGGGCAACCCUGAUCCAGCCAUGCCGCGUGUGUGAAGAAGGCCUUUUGGUUGUAAAGCACUUUAAGCAGUGAAGAAGACUCCAUGGUUAAUACCCAUGGACGAUGACAUUAGCUGCAGAAUAAGCACCGGCUAACUCUGUGCCAGCAGCCGCGGUAAUACAGAGGGUGCAAGCGUUAAUCGGAAUUACUGGGCGUAAAGCGAGCGUAGGUGGCUUGAUAAGUCAGAUGUGAAAGCCCCGGGCUUAACCUGGGAACGGCAUCUGAUACUGUUAGGCUAGAGUAGGUGAGAGGAAGGUAGAAUUCCAGGUGUAGCGGUGAAAUGCGUAGAGAUCUGGAGGAAUACCGAUGGCGAAGGCAGCCUUCUGGCAUCAUACUGACACUGAGGUUCGAAAGCGUGGGUAGCAAACAGGAUUAGAUACCCUGGUAGUCCACGCCGUAAACGAUGUCUACUAGUCGUUGGGUCCCUUGAGGACUUAGUGACGCAGCUAACGCAAUAAGUAGACCGCCUGGGGAGUACGGCCGCAAGGUUAAAACUCAAAUGAAUUGACGGGGGCCCGCACAAGCGGUGGAGCAUGUGGUUUAAUUCGAUGCAACGCGAAGAACCUUACCUGGUCUUGACAUAUCUAGAAUCCUGCA
rnacentral:rRNA from 1 species